rnacentral:rRNA from 1 species
AUUGAACGCUGGCGGCAGGCUUAACACAUGCAAGUCGAGCGGUAACAGAGAGACGCUUGCUUCUCUGCUGACGAGCGGCGGACGGGUGAGUAAUGCCUAGGAAUCUGCCUAGUAGAGGGGGAUAACUUGCCGAAAGGUAAGCUAAUACCGCAUACGUCCUACGGGAGAAAGGGGGGGACCUUCGGGCCUUUCGCUAUUAGAUGAGCCUAGGUCGGAUUAGUUAGUUGGUGAGGUAAUGGCUCACCAAGACCGCGAUCCGUAACUGGUCUGAGAGGAUGAUCAGUCACACUGGAACUGAGACACGGUCCAGACUCCUACGGGAGGCAGCAGUGGGGAAUAUUGGACAAUGGGGGGAACCCUGAUCCAGCCAUGCCGCGUGUGUGAAGAAGGUCUUAGGAUUGUAAAGCACUUUAAGUUGGGAGGAAGAGCAGUUAACUAAUAUUUGACUGUUUUGACGUUACCGACAGAAUAAGCACCGGCUAACUUCGUG